rnacentral:tRNA from 1 species
GGGGCCGUAGUUCAGCGGUAGAACGCUCGCUUUGCAUGUGAGAGACACCGGUUCGAUCCCGGUCGGCUCCA